rnacentral:lncRNA from 1 species
UUAGAUCAAUUAAUCUAAUAUGACUUGCUCAUGUCGGUUCACUCUCGACUUGAUUGAGGAGGUUUUGAUUUAGGUCUCAAUUGGGUUUGCUACAUCACAUGUAAACCUAUCUACCCGACUCACAUUCACAUCACAUGUAAACGGCACAUCACAGGCAGUUAUAAUCGUAGCAUCAAAUAAAGCUAAACUUUAACUAGGUGAUGAUUAUGGAUUCUAAUUAGGUCAUAUUACAAGCACAUGCACAUCAAUCGAUCAAGUGGUCUUCAACUCUUGAAUUGGUUCCAAGCCUCCUUGAUUCGAUCCUUGAUCAACUCUUGAUCCCAUCGCCAUCAA